UUCGGAUGAUGUGGGGUCACCAGUGACCCCACAAUCAUGCAGAGCAGUGCCAGACUCUCAGAGUCAGCGGUGUGGUAGAGGAUUUGCCUAGCUCAUAGCAUUUCUAACUCGAUCGAAGGAUAGACAGCUUGUCCACAUUCAAAAUCGCUUGUAAAUAUUAUAUCUUCACUGAAUAUAUUUAAAAUUUAGUCAUUUUAGAGUCUAAUAUUUAUUGAUCAAAAUAAAUUU
rnacentral:lncRNA from 1 species